CCUACACAUGCAAGUCGAGCGGCAGCGGGAAAGUAGCUUGCUACUUUUGCCGGCGAGCGGCGGACGGGUGAGUAAUGCCUGGGGAUCUGCCCAGUCGAGGGGGAUAACUACUGGAAACGGUAGCUAAUACCGCAUACGCCCUACGGGGGAAAGCAGGGGACCUUCGGGCCUUGCGCGAUUGGAUGAACCCAGGUGGGAUUAGCUAGUUGGUGAGGUAAUGGCUCACCAAGGCGACGAUCCCUAGCUGGUCUGAGAGGAUGAUCAGCCACACUGGAACUGAGACACGGUCCAGACUCCUACGGGAGGCAGCAGUGGGGAAUAUUGCACAAUGGGGGAAACCCUGAUGCAGCCAUGCCGCGUGUGUGAAGAAGGCCUUCGGGUUGUAAAGCACUUUCAGCGAGGAGGAAAGGUUGGUAGCUAAUAACUGCCAGCUGUGACGUUACUCGCAGAAGAAGCACCGGCUAACUCCGUGCCAGCAGCCGCGGUAAUACGGAGGGUGCAAGCGUUAAUCGGAAUUACUGGGCGUAAAGCGCACGCAGGCGGUUGGAUAAGUUAGAUGUGAAAGCCCCGGGCUCAACCUGGGAAUUGCAUUUAAAACUGUCCAGCUAGAGUCUUGUAGAGGGGGGUAGAAUUCCAGGUGUAGCGGUGAAAUGCGUAGAGAUCUGGAGGAAUACCGGUGGCGAAGGCGGCCCCCUGGACAAAGACUGACGCUCAGGUGCGAAAGCGUGGGGAGCAAACAGGAUUAGAUACGCUGGUAGUCCACGCCGUAAACGAUGUCGAUUUGGAGGCUGUGUCCUUGAGACGUGGCUUCCGGAGCUAACGCGUUAAAUCGACCGCCUGGGGAGUACGGCCGCCAGGUUAAAACUCAAAUGAAUUGACGGGGGCCCGCACAAGCGGUGGAGCAUGUGGUUUAAUUCAAUGCAACGCGAAAAAACCUUACCUGGGCCUUGCCAAGGCUUGGAAUCCUGGCUGAGGUGCC
rnacentral:rRNA from 1 species